rnacentral:rRNA from 1 species
GAUGAACGCUGGCGGCGUGCCUAAUACAUGCAAGUCGAGCGAACGGACGAGGAGCUUGCUCCUCUGACGUUAGCGGCGGACGGGUGAGUAACACGUGGAUAACCUACCUAUAAGACUGGGAUAACUUCGGGAAACCGGAGCUAAUACCGGAUAAUAUAUUGAACCGCAUGGUUCAAUAGUGAAAGACGGUUUUGCUGUCACUUAUAGAUGGAUCCGCGCCGCAUUAGCUAGUUGGUAAGGUAACGGCUUACCAAGGCAACGAUGCGUAGCCGACCUGAGAGGGUGAUCGGCCACACUGGAACUGAGCCACGGUCCAGACUCCUACGGGAGGCAGCAGUAGGGAAUCUUCCGCAAUGGGCGAAAGCCUGACGGAGCAACGCCGCGUGAGUGAUGAAGGUCUUCGGAUCGUAAAACUCUGUUAUUAGGGAAGAACAAAUGUGUAAGUAACUAUGCACGUCUUGACGGUACCUAAUCAGAAAGCCACGGCUAACUACGUG